UUUUCACUUAAAUCCCUAACGUGACAAAAACGUCUAAAAUAACAGAAUAUUCUUUUAAAAAAACAAAUAUUCUCUUUUUUUGGGAUAGCAAGACACUCUUAUAUUUUUUAAAUUCCAAAAAAACCCUUCUCACUUCCACACUCACAUAUCCUUAGCCCUAACUUCUUCAUCAAGCUCUCUCCGGAUCUGCCGCACGGUGCCCUCUCGCCGCGCCUCCUCCUCUCGGCGUCCCUAUCGUCCCUUGUAUUCUACUCAUCCCUUGUAUUUCGCCGUGCCUCUGUCCCUCUCUCCCUCGCCGCGUCUCACCUACGUGCCUCCGUGCCUCCGUUCUUCCAUGCUUCCCUCGCCUCGCCGCGCCGUGCCUCCGUCCCUCCUCACCACACCGCCGCUCCGUCCCUCGCGCCUAGUUUCGCUAUCUCGCGCCUGCUCCCAUGGCUUCCAUUUCAGACAGAGCCUAGGACUAGGUUGGAUGCAGGGACUUGGGGGUUGGCCUUGGUUAUUGCAUUUCAGACAGAGCCCAGGACCAGGAAGUGGCAAAACAACACUAUUGUUGGCUCUGACAGGGAGACUUGACCAUUCUCUCAAGAGAGAUCCACAAGCGCAUCUGUGUUGCUUGGAGUGAUCCUUCACUUGUGGAAUCUCUAACUGAGCCUACGUGGUCCCCUGAUGAAUUUAUUGAAGUUGGAUGCUUUAAGUGGGAGGAAUGGUGCUGGUUCUCAGCCAAUGCCAAGAGCUAAACAGACACUAUCAAGAGUAGCUGUGACAAGAACGUUAUCAGAGAAAUAUUCUGAUUUCAGCUUGCCAACCUUACAAUAUUCUAAGGAGCAAUCUAAAUCAUGUGAAAUCUGCAGACGAUUUGAGACUUUUUAAAUCCAAGAUUAUGUGAGAAGCUUGAGGCAAAAAGAAAUGGACUUUAUAUGCCUCAUUGUUUUACAUUGUUUUAUUUAAUUCAGAGUAGAAAUAGCAACAUUUUGUAUGCCUUAUAUGUUAGAAAACGAGCGAAAGCAUAAUAAAAAGUAUAUUUUUAAG